rnacentral:miRNA from 1 species
AGAGGGUUUGGCAGUUUACUCCAGACUAUAGAAACUACAUAUAUAGUUAUAUGUGUGUGUGUGUAUGUGUGUAUAUAUAUACAUAUACAUAUAUAUAUACACACACACACAUAUAU